rnacentral:rRNA from 1 species
AGCAACAAAUGCCCUGCUUCCAGGAAAAGCCUCUAAGCAUCAGGUAACAUCAAAUCGUACCCCAAACCGACACAGGUGGUCAGGUAGAGAAUACCAAGGCGCUUGAGAGAACUCGGGUGAAGGAACUAGGCAAAAUGGUGCCGUAACUUCGGGAGAAGGCACGCUGACACGUAGGUGAAGUGAUUUACUCAUGGAGCUGAAGUCAGUCGAAGAUACCAGCUGGCUGCAACUGUUUAUUAAAAACACAGCACUGUGCAAACACGAAAGUGGACGUAUACGGUGUGACGCCUGCCCGGUGCCGGAAGGUUAAUUGAUGGGGUCAGCGCAAGCGAAGCUCCUGAUCGAAGCCCCGGUAAACGGCGGCCGUAACUAUAACGGUCCUAAGGUAGCGAAAUUCCUUGUCGGGUAAGUUCCGACCUGCACGAAUGGCGUAAUGAUGGCCAGGCUGUCUCCACCCGAGACUCAGUGAAAUUGAACUCGCUGUGAAGAUGCAGUGUACCCGCGGCAAGACGGAAAGACCCCGUGAACCUUUACUAUAGCUUGACACUGAACAUUGAGCCUUGAUGUGUAGGAUAGGUGGGAGGCUUUGAAGUGUGGACGCCAGUCUGCAUGGAGCCGACCUUGAAAUACCACCCUUUAAUGUUUGAUGUUCUAACGUGGACCCGUGAUCCGGGUUGCGGACAGUGUCUGGUGGGUAGUUUGACUGGGGCGGUCUCCUCCUAAAGAGUAACGGAGGAGCACGAAGGUUGGCUAAUCCUGGUCGGACAUCAGGAGGUUAGUGCAAUGGCAUAAGCCAGCUUGACUGCGAGCGUGACGGCGCGAGCAGGUGCGAAAGCAGGUCAUAGUGAUCCGGUGGUUCUGAAUGGAAGGGCCAUCGCUCAACGGAUAAAAGGUACUCCGGGGAUAACAGGCUGAUACCGCCCAAGAGUUCAUAUCGACGGCGGUGUUUGGCACCUCGAUGUCGGCUCAUCACAUCCUGGGGCUGAAGUAGGUCCCAAGGGUAUGGCUGUUCGCCAUUUAAAGUGGUACGCGAGCUGGGUUUAGAACGUCGUGAGACAGUUCGGUCCCUAUCUGCCGUGGGCGCUGGAGAACUGAGGGGGGCUGCUCCUAGUACGAGAGGACCGGAGUGGACGCAUCACUGGUGUUCGGGUUGUCAUGCCAAUGGCACUGCCCGGUAGCUAAAUGCGGAAGAGAUAAGUGCUGAAAGCAUCUAAGCACGAAACUUGCCCCGAGAUGAGUUCUCCCUGAGACUUAGAGUCUCCUGAAGGAACGUUGAAGACGACGACGUUGAUAGGCCGGGUGUGUAAGCGCAGCGAUGCGUUGAGCUAACCGGUACUAAUGAACCGUGAGGCUUAACCUUACAAC